rnacentral:rRNA from 1 species
AUGCUAGCAAUGGACCAGCACCAUCAGCAGGAGGAGUCGUGUGUUCCACCGGGAUUCAGAUUCCAUCCCACAGAGGAGGAGCUGGUGGGGUACUACCUGGCCAGGAAGGUGGCCGCCCAAACGAUCGACCUCGACAUCAUCCAGGAGGUUGAUCUCUACAGGAUCGAGCCAUGGGACCUCCAAGAGAGGUGCGGCGGCGCGGGAGGGCGGGGAGCGCGUCAGGUGGCGGAGGACGAGCAGUCAUCAUCGGAGUGGUACUUCUUCAGCUUCAAGGACCGCAAGUAUCCAAGCGGCACGCGCACCAACCGCGCCACCGCGGCGGGGUUCUGGAAGGCCACCGGCAGGGACAAGCCGGUGAUGUCGUCGCGGAGCCGCGGCGUGAUCGGCAUGAGGAAGACGCUUGUUUUCUACAGGGGCCGUGCACCCAACGGUAGGAAGACCGACUGGAUCAUCCAUGAGUACCGCCUCCAGACCAGCGAGCAUGCGCCCACACAGGAGGAAGGUUGGGUGGUGUGCCGGGCGUUCCAGAAGCCGGCGCCGAACCAAAAGCCGUCCUACAUCUUCCCCGCAUACGCUACCACUCCGGGCCUCGGGAGCUACUACGACGCGAGGCCAUGGCUGCACAGCCAAGUCGGCGGUGACCUCUAUUACCUGCAGAGCGCCACUGGCGCUGCCGGGCCCGGCGGCCUCGGCUUCCCGAGCCAGGACGUCAAGUACUCCUCCGAGGACCUGCUGGACUCCAAGCAGAGUCUCUUCGGCAAUAUCCCACAGCUCAUUGAGAGCCCGCCGCCGACCGCCCUUCUAGGCUGCGGCGACGAUGCCGUCCUCCAGCCACAGGGUCCGGGACAUGCGGUGACCGGCAUCGACUGGAACUUCCUGGACAGCUUGCUGUCCACGUCACAGCUCCACGAAUACUCUGCCACUGCUGCAUCACAUCUGCACCUUGAGCAGUGA